rnacentral:rRNA from 1 species
GACGAACGCUGGCGGCGUGCUUAACACAUGCAAGUCGAACGGAGUGGCGAACGGGUGAGUAACACGUGGGUGACCUGCCCUGCACUUCGGGAUAAGCCUGGGAAACUGGGUCUAAUACCGGAUAGUGGGGGAGGGGCGCGCGGCCUAUCAGCUGGUUGGUGGGGUAAUGGCCUACCACGGCGGCGACGGGUAGCCGGCCAGGGAGGGUGGACGGCCACAUUGUGACUGAGAGACGGCCCAGACUCCUACGUGAGGCAGCAGUGGGGAAUAUUGCACAAUGGGCGCAAGCCUGAGGCAGCGGCGCGGCGUGGGGGAUGACGGCUUUCGGGUUGUAAACUCCUUUCACCAUCGACGCGGUAGAUGGAGAAGAAGCACCGGCUAACUACGUGCCAGCCGCCGCGGUAAUAC